rnacentral:rRNA from 1 species
UACGAAGGGUGCAAACGUUGCUCGGAAUCAUUGGGCGUAAAGCGCACGUAGGCGGCCUGAUAAGUCGGAUGUGAAAUCCCUCGGCUCAACCGAGGACGUGCAUUCGAAACUGUCAGACUCGAGUAUGGAAGAGGGUCGCGGAAUUCCCGGUGUAGAGGUGAAAUUCGUAGAUAUCGGGAGGAACACCAGUGGCGAAGGCGGCGACCUGGGCCAAUACUGACGCUGAGGUGCGAAAGCGUGGGGAGCAAACAGG